UUUCCUUGUCGCCCCUUGUCUAAUGUUUUCUCUCUCUCUUUAUUUUGUUCUCACUCUUGUUUACCUCUUUUUUCACUCUGUUUUUUCUUUUUCCACCUUCCUUACUUCUCUCAAUUUUUUUUGCUUUUUCACAGAUUUUCAACCUUUAUUCUCGAAUUUUCUCCUUGUCUUGAGAUGAUGGGAGAACCCAUAUUUAUAGGUGAAUUCGAACUUGAAGUCUGGAUUCAAAACUCAAAUAUGAGAAAAUUGAUUUAAAAUUUGAUAAGAACUCUGAAAUGAAUCUUGCUUUCCCAGGCCAUUGAUGGUAGGUUUGAAUUUUUUUUUUUGUUAUACGAGUUAGAGACUGUAUUCUCUGUCCUUUUUGAUUUUCAUGGGUUGAGGCGACAAUGAAAAAGGGAUUCUCGCGCAUCCUAUCGGUAGGCUGAUGGUCAGCGACGACGGGCUAGGGUUCUUUGUUUGGUGAUAAUGAAGGAGAGGGAGAAUGGGAAGGAGAAAUGAGCCUCUGAUUUUUGUGUACUUUGGGUAAUGAGAAAAGAUGUAACAAUGGAUUUUUUGGAAGAAAGCUUUACGCGUGCUUUGGGAGGUGUGGAGCCAUGUCUUGGUAUUUGCUUUAUUGACUAUAAUUUGGUCCAUCCGAUCGGUUCAGGUUUAAUAUAAGAAUAAAUAAAUAAAUAAAUAUUAUAUAUAUACACAUUUAUCUAUAAUUAAAAAGAUAUAUUUGGGACCUUUCGAUUAGGAGAAGAAUUAGCUCACGAGAUUAUUUGUGCAAGUCGGGUG
rnacentral:lncRNA from 1 species